AGUGAACGCUGGCGGCAGGCCUAACACAUGCAAGUCGAACGGCAGCACAGUAAGAGCUUGCUCCUACGGGUGGCGAGUGGCGGAAGGGUGAGGAAUACAUCGGAAUCUACUUUUUCGUGGGGGAUAACGUAGGGAAACUUACGCUAAUACCGCAUACGACAUACGGGUGAAAGCAGGGGAUCUUCGGACCUUGCGCGAUUGAAUGAGCCGAUGUCGGAUUAGCUAGUUGGCGGGGUAAAGGCCCACCAAGGCGACGAUCCGUAGCUGGUCUGAGAGGAUGAUCAGCCACACUGGAACUGAGACACGGUCCAGACUCCUACGGGAGGCAGCAGUGGGGAAUAUUGGACAAUGGGCGCAAGCCUGAUCCAGCCAUACCGCGUGGGUGAAGAAGGCCUUCGGGUUGUAAAGCCCUUUUGUUGGGAAAGAAAAGCAGCAGGUUAAUACCCCGCUGUUCUGACGGUACCCAAAGAAUAAGCACCGGCUAACUUCGUG
rnacentral:rRNA from 1 species